UUAUUAUUAUUAUUAUUAUUAUUUCAAUUCCAUAGGAAGCAAUUUUCUCUUUCUUUUUCUUAUUAAUAAAAUGUUAGUGGCUUGCUUUUAAAAUGAUUACUGAAUAGUGUUAAUUAAUAUUAUGACUAACCAAAUUGCAAAGUUGAAUUUUGUUUAGGGAGAUUGUUCUUUGCUAUAUAGAAUCAUAUUUUAUAGGGACUUUCAUGUAGGGUAGAAGUACAACAACAAAACCAAAUGGAAUGAUCCCACUGUUUAUUUGACACCUUUAGUCAUUCUAAAAUAGAUACA
rnacentral:misc_RNA from 1 species